UACAGAGGGUGCAAGCGUUGUUCGGAAUUACUGGGCAUAAAGGGUGCGUAGGCGGCUUGUUAAGUCAGGGGUGAAAGUUUUCGGCCCAACCGGAAAAUUGCCUUUGAUACUGGCGAGCUCGAGUGCGUGAGGGGUAACCGGAACGAGCAGUGUAGCGGUGAAAUGCGUAGAUAUUGCUCGGAAGGCCAACGGCGAAGGCAGGUUACUGGUACGCAACUGACGCUGAGGCACGAAAGCGUGGGGAGCAAACAGG
rnacentral:rRNA from 1 species